rnacentral:lncRNA from 1 species
AGAGUAGGAAUAUGUCUGCAUGGACUUCACCUGACUACUACUACAGUUGCCUUGAUUCUGGAACCUAAAAGUAGGCAGUUCAGGUAAGAUGAACAUUAUCCCAUGUUUAACUCUCAUUUAUAACAGGAUAUACUUAAUCUGAAUGAGCUACAUGUUGUACACAAUUCAAAAACACAAAUAAAUUUUCCUGUUCUGAAUUAGGACACAUUUCAGAGUACAGGGUGGUUAGUAACAACUAAUAAGCAUCUAUUAGCUUUUAACUAACAUGCCCAUGAAGACACUUGGAAAGUAAAAUGCAUACAACAUCA